UACAGAUUGAUGACGACACUGUGGAGGAAAUCAGGAAAUUAAUACAGAAAGAAGUAUUAAGAGUAUUUGAAGAGCUGUGGUCCAGUCAGGCCCCUCAGACAAAGACCCCAGCUGCCAUCCUCGCGGCACAGGUCCGUCACGGGACGCCAGGGCCCCCGGGGCCCCCAGGCCUCCCCGGCAAUGAUGGCUUCCCGGGGCCCCCAGGACAACCUGGCUCCCCAGGUAGGCCGACAGCCUAAACCCCGGUGCUGUGCCCCCCCUCUGUGGCCCUGCUCCCUAACAGAGUGACCUCCCCCCCAACCCCAAAAGGAGCUGAGUUUGCAUCUAACCCCAGCGUGUCACCCUCUGGCUCAGAGCCGGCCGCUGUCUGGCGGUGUCGCGCAGCUGCCAGGCCCCUGCCUUUAAACGGCCACAGGAAGCCAGGGUCUCUCUCGCUGUGGGCUGGGAAAGGAGCUCCCCUGAAUUCACCAAUAGGGGGCGCUGAGUGCUCUGAAGGAGAUGGAUAGUCACAGCAGCAUCCUUAUUGACGCUCCUCCCUCCUCCCACCCUGAAAUGAGUACAUGAGGGUUUAGUUAUCAAAAAGCUUGGCAGGAACGGACCUGAGGAACACGCCCCCCACAGGAUCGCCGGACCGUGGGGGGAGGGGUCUUAUUCUCCCAUGGGGGUGACAGUAAGACACAGCAGCCCUGCAUCGCACUCCUGCAUGGACUAGCCACUCUGCCCGACCCGAAGAGGACUCAAUCCAGAUCGGCGUCACCCCUGUGGGGGGGGACCCAUACCAUCACAGGAUUUCCCUCUGAAAACCAUUAGCGUGUUUAGUGUGUUUUAUAACUAUGUAACAAAUUAAAGUGUCUUGUGUUGUAGCGCACAAACAGCUACCUCAGGAUAGUCAGUGUGGGUUCUGCCUUCCCUGACAGCACACUGUAACUGCGCCAUUGCAUGAAGCACAGGGCACUCCUGGUUUUCGCCUGGUUACACAGGCGUGCAUAACCUGACGCCAGAGAUGUACCUGUGACAGCGGCACGUCUGUCAUUACUGUCAGAACUGAAAUUCACCGCCUGCAGCGUCACAGAGCUGAUGUGUAUGUUUGUGUUCGUCCGACAAUAACUGUCUACUGCCCUUUGGAAAAUGGGAAAACAAAAAAGUAAUAAAGCGUAGCUGCUGUCCCAGGUUUACCCCCCCCCUUUUUAUCACACCAGCCCUCCUUUCUGAGAAUCCUCACCACCCCCAAAGGAAGCUUCCGAAUGUCUGCUGAAGGAUGCCCUGCGGAGCCUUCUCUCUGCAGCUCCACAUUUCCUCUCCAUAUACAUUUCUGUAUUGUUAUUUUAUCAUUUUGCUUCAUCGGCCCGCUGUGCUGCUGAGUUUACACGCUGGUGGGGCACAGCAGCAGAUAACUCCGGGAAGGUGACCGGCUUGCUUACCAUCUCGUAAGCCUCCCCUGCAUCUCACAUUCCUCUGUUUAAUGUUCUUCUCUGAGAUUGUUGCUCUGUUCCAGGAAAUCGUCGUGUUUGUGAGGCUGACCUGACACUUGCAGGCACUCGGUCUUUCUGUUUAUUCCCUGUAGAUUAUGUUUUUUUUAGUGAUGAAAUGUUUUUGUUUGGAAACGUGCAUCGUCAUGUGAUUUCUACAUACAUAAAUGUAUUUGCAUGUGUAAGCUAAAGGAACGGGAUUCAUGUUUGUAACAUACAUGUGAAGCCCACAACUUGGAGCUGCUUUUGUGGCGUGACGGAUCUAUGAGAAACUGCUUUUUGAAUAUCAUUCUGUUAUGAAGGUAUUAAAGUUGUAUAUGUUAAUAAACCACAACUGUCCUCCUUUUAGGGGACUUUUAAUGUGAUACAUGAA